CGGGGCUGCGCCGGCCGCUUCCCAGCCAGGCUGAAAGGGCUCGGGAAGCUAGCUGGCCUUGUUGGCCCUUAAAUCGCACACUGGAUGGCCUGGCCCCAGCUACCCUCGCCGAGCCGCGCAAAGAAGGAUGCUCCUGGCUCUCGUCGGCCUCCCAGGUUUGCUUUCCUUCUUUUCCCGAAGGUGGGCCCUUAGGUUCACCCUCCGAAGCCUGCGGCCGCAGGGAAAGCCAAACCCCGAGUGUCCGGAGAGUAACCGGAAGUGCCCUCCCAGGCAGAGGGGCGGCGCCGGCUGCAGCCGGGGAGAGGCAAGAAUUGAGUAUUGUUAAUAACUGUGGACUGGAGACCUUUUGGAGCCAAAAGGAAGACAGUCUUGAGUCUUUCUUGUUACGGGUUGUAAAUACCACAUAAGGAACGAGUGCAUGUGAUGCUGGAAACUUGUAAAGAGGAACUGCUCAUGACUGAAAGGCCUAAGACAGAUGUAUCUUUCAAGUUCUUAUCGAGAAAAUGACUGUGAAGAAAAUGAUGGGUCAGGAAGACCAGUGGAAAACUCC
rnacentral:lncRNA from 1 species